AUUGAACGCUGGCGGCAUGCUUUACACAUGCAAGUCGAACAGUAACAGGCCGCAAGGUGCUGACGAGUGGCGAACGGGGGAGUAAUGCAUCGGAACGUGCCCAGUCGUGGGGGAUAACUACUCGAAAGAGUAGCUAAUACCGCAUACGAUCUAUGGAUGAAAGCGGGGGACCGCAAGGCCUCGCGCGAUUGGAGCGGCCGAUGUCAGAUUAGGUAGUUGGUGGGGUAAAGGCUCACCAAGCCAACGAUCUGUAGCUGGUCUGAGAGGACGACCAGCCACACUGGAACUGAGACACGGCCCAGACUCCUACGGGAGGCAGCAGUGGGGAAUUUUGGACAAUGGGCGCAAGCCUGAUCCAGCAAUGCCGCGUGCAGGAAGAAGGCCUUCGGGUUGUAAACUGCUUUUGUACGGAACGAAACGGCUCUGGUUAAUACCCGGGGCUAAUGACGGUACCGUAAGAAUAAGCACCGGCUAACUACGUG
rnacentral:rRNA from 1 species